GACGAACGCUGGCGGCGUGCCUAACACAUGCAAGUCGAGCGGAGGUACUUGAGGAGUAAUCUGAGGGUACUUUAGCGGCGGACGGGUGAGUAACGCGUGAGCAACCUGCCUUUCACAGGGGGAUAAGGCGGCGAAAGCCGCUCUAAUACCGCAUGAGACCACGGGGAUGAUAUUCCAGGGGUCAAAGGAGCAAUCCGGUGAGAAAUGGGCUCGCGUCCGAUUAGGUAGUUGGUGAGGUAACGGCCCACCAAGCCAAUGAUCGGUAGCCGGCCUGAGAGGGUGAACGGCCACAUUGGAACUGAGAGACGGUCCAAACUCCUACGGGAGGCAGCAGUGGGGAAUAUUGGGCAAUGGGGGAAACCCUGACCCAGCAACGCCGCGUGAGGGAAGAAGGUUUUCGGAUUGUAAACCUCUGUUCUUGGAGAAGAGAAGAAGACGGUAUCCAAGGAGGAAGCCCCGGCUAACUACGUG
rnacentral:rRNA from 1 species